rnacentral:misc_RNA from 1 species
UCAAACUUGGUCAUUUAGAGGAAGUAAAAGUCGUAACAAGGUUUCCGUAGGUGAACCUGCGGAAGGAUCAUUAGCGAAAUUCAUACGGGGUUUUGGAUUGUUGCUGGCUUUUCAGAGCAUGUGCACAUUCAGCCUCGAUCUUUUUCACCUCCUGUGAACUUUUGUAGGCCUUGAUGAAGAAGCUUCCCAAGUUCCAAACCAGUUUUGGGUUGUCAGGAAAGAUUGCUCAGCUUUCUUUCGUUUUGGGCUCUCUCUCAUUUUAGGUUUUACGUUUUUUAAUCAAACACUGAAUUGACCAAGUAUGUAUGCAUGUUGCAUGAAAAAGUUUUAAUACAACUUUCAACAAUGGAUCUCUUGGCUCUCGCAUCGAUGAAGAACGCAGC